GGAGCGGUAUCAAAGCGGUCGUACUGAGGCGGUCUUGAAAACCGUUGUACCUUCGGGUACCGGGGGUUCGAAUCCCUCCCGCUCCG
rnacentral:tRNA from 1 species